UCUUCUUUUGGGAAAAUUCUCCAUCUUCACACUCAUCUUGGUAAAUUAAUUUUGCAUCUUAUCUUCAUUCUUCAUUGCUAUGUGGUAACUUAAUAAGGCAACUCUGGAUUUUGAAUGUUUUGAAGAGGACAUUAUUGCACUAGUAAAUUUCUCAAAAAGUUACUUCCUUUUUCGCGUAUGCUAAACGGAAAAGGCUAAAAAAAUACCCUAUAACAAAUGGAAAUAACUCAUAAAUACACUCCAUCUGCCCAAAUCAGUAGAAUUGUACAAACUGCAAUUGAUAUGAUGGAAAACUCCUUAUUGAAGAUAACAAAAGAGCAAUUUUCUACAAGAUUUUUUGUCCCUCAAUCACUAAUGAACUGAGAAUCCCAGCCCAUUUUCUUAGGCAUAUAUCAGAAGAAUCGCCUGAUAAAGCCACCCUUAAGUGUCUUUCUGGAGGCACUUGGAAUGUGAAACUACAGUGUGAUGAAGAUGGUUUGCUUAUACAUAAGGGUUGGAAGAAAUUUCAGAAAAAUAAUCAACUAGAAAAUGGGGAAUAUCUCGUGUUUAGGUACAAUGGCGCUCUGCAAUUCACAAUAAGAAUUUUCUGCAAGAAUGGACUGGAGAGACAAGUGAAGUCAACAAACAUGGUUAAAAAUCAACAAGCUUCAAUAGAUGGAGGCAGCAAGCGUAAAAGGCCAGAAAAAUACCCUUGCACCUCAAAAUUCCUUAAACAGACAUGUGCUAACGGUGAAAAUGACACAGAACAUGAAACUCCAAGAAAAAGAGCUGCACUUGAGAAAGAAGAGGACCUUCUCACUCCAAAUAUUCCUCAAUUUGUGAAAGGCUACAAUGUGAAAAAGUCUUGUUUCUUGAAAACAAGUUUAUGUGACCGGUAAGAUAUGAAAUGUGUAAAAUUUAUGUAAACCAAAUAAUUAAUACUUAUAAUGCAGUAUGUUCCAAGAUACUUGUGUGAACAACUUUCGACAUCAGAAAAUAAGACAACAGCAGUCCUCCGUAAUUCAGAAGGAAAAGGGUGGAAAGCGAAUUGUAUAACACAAAAAGGAUAUCAUGCUUUCUGUGGAGGAUGGAAACAGUUUGUGAGUGAUAACAAGCUUAAGGAAGGACAGGUCUGUGUUUUUCAGCUUGUCAAUGCAAAUGAACUAAAGGUUUCUGUUUUCAACGAUCCUUCGGAAUCUCUGUUGAAACUUGCUGCACAAAGAUGAUAAAUCUUAGUUUUGAACUGCUACAAUUUGAUGUCAUUAUGUUGGAAUCUGAACUCUGUAGCUGCUUAACAUGAACAACCUUGUUUUCCUUCAUUUGUUUUUUUCUAGUUGUUGUUCCUUUAUAUGUUCACAUGGUUAUAGCCACAUCAAUGGUAGGUUCACAUGAAAUGUAUGUUCAUGUUGAUGAUUUCUGGUGUGAAGAAGACUGCUGAAAUAUUUUUUGUGUGAACAAGGUUGGUAAGGUGUUUCUGGUGUG